rnacentral:rRNA from 1 species
UACGGAGGGGGCGAGCGUUAUUCGGAAUUAUUGGGCGUAAAGGGCGCGUAGGCGGCCUUGUAAGUCAAAGGUGAAAUCCCUCGGCUCAACUGAGGAACUGCCUUUGAAACUGCAAGGCUUGAGGCCGGGAGGGGGUAGCGGAAUUCCCAAUGUAGCGGUGAAAUGCGUAGAUAUUGGGAGGAACACCAGUGGCGAAGGCGGCUACCUGGACCGGUUCUGACGCUGAGGAGCGAAAGCGUGGGGAGCGAACAGG